rfam:Trypanosoma brucei brucei strain 927/4 GTTat10.1 chromosome 2, complete sequence.
AUAUCUUCUCGGCUAUUUAGCUAAGAUCAAGUUAUUAAACUGUUCUUAUCAGAGUAACUCCUGAUACGGGCCUUUGGCCCAAGGAUCAAAACUGUUGGCUGUCCCGCGUUCUUCCGGGGUUCCACUUGUCCGGAUGGAGCGCGACGGUC